ensembl:lncRNA
GGGGGGGCUAGCCUACUGUCCUACUAGUCCAUGUCAUGGGGGGGUCUAUUGAGGGAAGCUGUUAAGUGUCUACUGGAGUCCAUACUAUAGAUGUUAUAAAUGGGGAUACUUUGCUAGCACGUGUCAACAUGUCAUAGGGGAGGGGUCUAUUCAGUAGAAUCAUCUUGUUAGCGGUCCCUUGUUCCUCCAUAUUCAUCUGAGUGGUGCCUGGCCUUCUGUAGAUGCUACUAUGUUAAUGCUAACCCGUGUCAUGGGGGGUCUGUUUCAUGGGGGGAAGGGGUGGCAGUCCAAAAAUUCAGCCACACAAAUGUACGUAUAACUACGUGUGUGUGUGUGUGUGUGUGUGUGUGUGUGUGUGUGUGUGUGUGUGUGUGUGUGUGUGUAUCAUGUCGACUCCCCCUGGCUGUGCAGCCAUCUGGAUGAGCCCCGGCUCAUGGUUGUGACACUCACAGCACGACUCUGUCUGGAGAACAGAAGCACAGGGGCACUGCCUCUCACCCCCCUGUACCCCCGCCCCCAGUUCUCUAUCCCCUCUCUACAGGAAACCCCCUGUACCCCCUCUAUCCCUCUCUAGUAUCAUGUCCCCUCUCUCUACCCCCUCUAUCCCUCUCUAGUAUCUGGUCCCCUCUCUAGUAUCCGGUCCCCUCUCUCUACCCCCUCUAUUCCUCUCUAGUAUCCUCUCUCUACCCCCUCUAUUCCUCUCUAGUAUCCGGUCCCCUCUCUCUACCCCCUCUAUCCCGCUCUAGUAUCCGGUCCCCUCGCUCUACCCCCUCUAUCCCUCUCUAGUAUCCGGUCCCCUCUCUCUAGCCCCUCUAUCCCUCUCUAGUAUCCGGACCCCUCUCUCUACCCCCUCUAUCCCUCUCUAGUAUCCGGUCCCCUCUCUCUACCCCCUCGUCCCCUCUCUCUAACCCCUCUAUCCCUCUCUCUACCCCCUCUAUCCCUCUCUAGUAUCCGGUCCCCUCUCUCUACCCCCUCUAUCCCUCUCUAGAAUCCGGUCCCCUCUCUCUACCCACUCAAUUACCCCUCUCACUAUAUCCCCUGACCUCUCUCUCUAUCCUCUCUUUCCCCAACCUCUACCCUCUCCCCUAUGUCUCUACCCCCUCUCUUUUCCUCUCACCCCUUCUCUCUACACAUCGCUCAACACCCACCACCAACCCCGUGCCCUGUCUGCGUUGCCCCUGCUUAAUGCAGUGUAACUGUACAUGUUCAGAAAUAAAAAAGCCACCUCCUAGAUGAGACUGUACAGACAGAUGCUUUCUCUCUCUCUCUGUCAGCC